AGCAGUCGCCGCGGUAAUACAGAGGAUGCAAGCGUUAUCCGGAAUGAUUGGGCGUAAAGCGUCUGUAGGUGGCUUUUCAAGUCCGCCGUCAAAUCCCCGGGCUUAACCUGGGAACUGCGCUUGUGACUGCACAGCUAGAGUAUGGCAGAGGGGGGUGGAAUUCCACGUGUAGCAGUGAAAUGCGUAGAGAUGUGGAGGAACACCGAUGGCGAAGGCAGCCCCCUGGGCCAAUACUGACGCUCAUGCACGAAAGCGUGGGGAGCAAACAGGAUUAGAUACCCGGGUAGUCCCUGUCUCUUAUAC
rnacentral:rRNA from 1 species